rnacentral:rRNA from 1 species
GAUGAACGCUGGCGGCGUGCUUAACACAUGCAAGUCGAACGGAAAGGCUCCUGCUUGCAGGGGUACUCGAGUGGCGAACGGGUGAGUAACACGUGGGUGAUCUGCCCUGCACUUCGGGAUAAGCCUGUGAAACUGGGUCUAAUACCGGAUAGGACGAUGGUUUUGAUGCCAUUGUGGAAAGUUUUUCGGUGGGGGAUGAGCUCGCGGCCUAUCAGCUUGUUGGUGGGGUAAUGGCCUACCAAGGCGUAGACGGGUAGCCGGCCUGGGAGGGUGGACGGCCACAGUGGGACUGGGACAGAGACAAGACCCAGACUGGAGGGAGCAGUGGGGGAGAGUGAAAAAGGGGCGCGAGCCAGAUGCAGCGACAGCGCGGGGGGGAUGACGGUCAAGGGGUUAUAGAUGUCUUGCGCUAGGGACGGAGAGUUUUGUGACGGUACCGGGAGAAGAAGCACCGGCUAACUACGUG